rnacentral:rRNA from 1 species
UGCCUUAGUAACGGCGAGUGAAGCGGCAAAGCUCAAAUUUGAAAUCUAGCACUUUCAGUGUUCGAGUUGUAAUUUGAAGAAGGUAUCUUUGGAGUUGGCCCCUGUCUAUGUUCCUUGGAACAGGACGUCACAGAGGGUGAGAAUCCCGUGCGAUGGGGAGACCAAUUCUAUGUAAAGUUCCUUCGAAGAGUCGAGUUGUUUGGGAAUGCAGCUCUAAGUGGGUGGUAAAUUCCAUCUAAAGCUAAAUAUUGGCGAGAGACCGAUAGCGAACAAGUACAGUGAUGGAAAGAUGAAAAGAACUUUGAAAAGAGAGUGAAAAAGUACGUGAAAUUGUUGAAAGGGAAGGACUUUUGAUCAGACUUGGUGUUUAGUACUCUCUACUCCUUGUGGGUGGGGCUCUUGCUUUAUACUGGGCCAGCAUCGGUUUGGGUGGCAGGAUAAUGGCAUUGGAAUGUGGCUUCAUUCGUGGAGUGUUAUAGCCUUUGUUGAUACUGCCUAUCUAGACCGAGGACUGCGUCUUUUGACUAGGAUGCUGGCGUAAUGAUUAAAAGUCGCCCGUCUUGAAACACGGACCA